rnacentral:tRNA from 1 species
CGGCGGUACGGAAGUCGUCGCCGUGGACUUUUCCGGAGUCCAGGUCGACAGGGCUCGUCGGUUCUGGUCCCACGUUGCGGA